CUGCGGCUGGGUUACAUCUGCUCUGUACGUCCAGGGAGAGUGUGACUUCCACUGGUUUCCCAGCACAAGGUCUAUUAGAUGAGACUUCACAACACAACUAGCUGGACAAUAUUUAUAUCAUAUUCUUCAGUGUAUAAUGAGAAGGUACCUACCCAGUGCCACUCGUGCAGCAGAAGCAUCAUAAUUGAUCCAGAAGGACACCCAGGACAGAAUGGUGAUGAGGAUAGAUGGCAUGUAAGUCUGCAGGAUGAAGUAACCAAUGUUCCUCUUAAUUCGGAAGCUCAAAGAUAAGCGCAGAUUUUACAGCCUCAUCAGAGAAGAGGAUUUCUUUAGAGUCUGCUCAAUUGGCUAGGAAUAUUGGGAAAAAAAGGAGCUCUAUGCAAGUUACAGUUUUGUAUCAGACAUCAUGGGAGAACGUCUGUUCAGUCCUCUGUUGAAACUGCCUUUAUGGUAUGUGCCAGUAAGAUUUGGGCUUGCGUGGGAGACUUCAACCCUAUACCUGGAUGCAGUAUGAGAGGAGCAUUGUUUCAAAGUUGUGUGGAUGUGGAAACAAACAAAAUGGAACCCUGCAGAUUUCCAGUGUGCAUGAGUGUGAGAGACAAAGGCUUUUAGCAAGGAAACCACGACUGUCUUCAUCUCGGCGUGGGUCUUAGAAAUACUGUAAGGAAACGUAACUUCAACUAACAAAUUGGCUUGACAUGUCCCAUUAAGAACAAAAUCGCAACAUGGGGAACUGUGGGUAAUUCUCUGCCUUCUGUUUUCUUGGUUGUACUGUAAACUAUUCUCAAAAUACGAAGGAGUGCCAAAAAUGACAUGCCAUUAGUGCAUCCAGGAGGACCUCAUUUACAUCCCAUUACCCGCCACGCCAAGAGCUGCUAUCGCUGCACAUUCCGAGUGGGACCAGGGCUGCCUGGCAGAGGAGAGGCUGGGGAGGCAGCGCCGUGCCUGCCGACUGCUGAUGCCAUGGGACCUCUUUUAUGAAAAAAGCAAUUCUCUGAUAAUCACCACUGAAGCUGCAUCAUCAUUACUGUGAGAUCUGCUGCUCUGGACCGCUCCUGUGGGGAUACUGCAGUGCAUUUUUAUGAGGGAGUGCCGGACCUCCCUUGGCCAGAAUGAUCAGGAAGGCUUUUCAUGGGAGUCCAAGGAAAAUCCAGGUGGGGAGGAGAUGUGGGCUCUGCUCCCACCUCCUGCAAAAAACAGGCUUAGCCAACACUGAGGGCACCUUCCCAGGGCUAUCUGAGGGCUGAGAUAGCCUUCUCCAUCCUCCCAAAAGUGAGAGUAAUUUUAUGUGCCUAGCCUGCUGCCGGGGCUCCAUUUUCCUGAGCAUUUUACCCUGGGGAUGGAGUUUGGAUGAGGGAGCCCAGUCCUGCCCAAAGGGGCAUCCUUGGGAAUGGGUGGCCUUAAAAGCCCUGGGAGGCAGCCCAGGGGUGGGAGGGGUGGCUUGUUUGGGUCAGCAUUGCAUGGCAUACGCACAGCUCUCAAUCUCCAACGUGCAGUUCUGCUGGUCCAGGGGGUACCUCCGUAGGUCCAUCAUGCAGGCAGCCGUGGUGGUGAUCCUGAAAGAAGAUGAGAGAAAGAAAAAAUUACAAUAAUGAUUAUUUUUUAAAAGGAGAAAUGAAAGGCAGAUGUGAAAGUCGGGCAGCAUUUGGGGCCGCUGUUUCCCUGGAAACCAGAGAGAGCCACGGUGGGAGGGCAGAGGGAGGUGUGCGGGGGGCUGGAUGCAGCUCACCCUCAACUGCAUGGCUUACACCCUCCGUGACUAACGUCAGCAAGGCAGCAUCUCUAUUAGCAGGGUGGGGAGGGAUUGGUGUUCCUCCCCUGUCUCUCCAGGAGAAAGACAAAGAAACUGGGAGUAGGCAGAGCUAUGAGAGGAGAGAGAUGUCAGAUUGUGAAAGAGAGGCUGAGGGCAAGUGUCCAUAGAACAGAAAAGCAUUGAUCAUAUUGUCCUGCAGUGGCCUCUUCCUUCCCAAAUUGCCCCAAGAACCGCACUGCAGCCCCCACCCAUCGGUGCCCCUCCAUCACACUCACUGCCCUCCUGCUCCUGCACUGUGUGCUGGUGACUCCACUAACAGAUUCACUCCUGUGCAAGUGAUUCCAUGGUCAAGAUUCACCUGACAUGUGUGUACAUGUGUGCAUCCCCUAGGAAAAUAAAUUUAGGGAGAGAAAAUGGGCAGGGGUUGUUUUUGGGGUGUCAGUGCCACGCAGUACCUAUGGAAGGUUUUCAUGUGUGUGGGUGCAUCUGUGUUACACGGUGCACACAAAGGAGCAUUGCUUUCAGGGUUGGGGCAUUUUGCAGUGGGGCAGGUCAGGUGCAGGCACAAAGCAGGGAGAGAGCAAUUCAGCUGCUAACUGCCAGCCCAGAAUUUAGCAGGCUGCCCCCAUUUCUCAAAUUUAUUGCUCCCCUCACCCGUUAAUGCAGUUGU